rnacentral:tRNA from 2 species
GGGAUCGUGGGUUAGCUUGGUAUACUCUGGGCCUUGGGUGCCCAAGACCCCGGUUCAAAUCCGGGCGAUCCCA